rnacentral:lncRNA from 1 species
AGUAGGGAGGCUCUUCACAUUCCAGACAUUCUUAGAGGGUACAGAGGAGGCGGAAAGAAAGGCUAUUCCCAGUUCUCCACAUCAGUGCCACAUGAUACCCCACGGGCAUGAUCCUAGGCAGGCACAAGGGCAUGUGGCCUUUGGAGCCAAGGCAGAGCCCUGCUCCUGGUUGUGCCCAGCCCAGGGCUCGGGCUUCCAUGGCAGACUCAAGGAGCCCAUCUCCCUCCAUCCAGCCACACACUCAGGCCCUGCUUUCUCAGGAGCGGACUCUUCCAGGUGAGGAAAAUGUGCCUCCAAAUGAUCUGAGCUCCUGGGUUUGGAGCUAAGGAAUGUACGGUGUUUGAGUGACGUUGCGGGCAGGAGGGAAAUGAAACCAGCCGGCGGGAGCCACCUUGCCGUGGAGCUGGCUCUGUGGGCAGGUGGCUGGCACUCCAGGGCCCAGGGCAAGGUCUGUGGGGUGUGGUGGGGCCGCCCCGACAAAUAGCGGGCAGGAAGAGCAGAGGCUCAGAGGCCAGCUGGGGAGGCCCAUGGGCCUUCUGAGCCCUUUGGGGUUACUGUCCUUCAGAAACAGAGACACAGCUGGCCCACGGGCUGGGGAGUGCUCCGUGGGCCAAGCUGGCCUCUGGGUGAAGACGGGCCUCUGCUCCACUCCCCGAGUUCUCUCCUGAUCCUGGAAGUUCACGCUCUGUUCUCUGGGCUGCCAUCUCCUUUCUGUGAACGAGGACACAGUGUCCGUCUGUGUGGCCGGGACCUGUGUCAGACCCAGGGCCCUGGAGUGGCCUGUGAACUUGAGAGUAGUACCUCCCCGGGGGCCAGGCCUGCUCGGCCCUGACCUGGGCCUGGGGGAGUCCUGGUCUUGCUGUGGCAGGGGCUCCAGGAGUCGAGGGAGGGUGUGGCGAAGGCCUGUGGGUUGGCACCGCAGUGUGGCUGCUGCUGAGCCUGGGAGGGACACCUCUGAGAGCCCAGUCUGCCCUGCCGGGCUCCAAGGCCUCUGCACAGACGUCUGACUGGCACUUUGUAGCUCAGGCCCCGGGAGAGACGCCUGCUGUCUUUUUACAGCUGGGGCUCCACCCAGACUGCAGCAGGGCCCAGCGCCCUGUCACACCCUUGGCGUGGACAGGGUUUUCAUUCAUGUGGGAUCUGGAGCUGCAGCUGUGCCCCAGAGAGGAGGCCAGGAGGAGGGAAGCCUUCACAUCUUGCAGGCUCACUGGGAAGCUCUUUGAAAAUGAGCUGUAAUUAAACCCACAUCACGAUGGGGCAUUGUGAGUUCAGGGCACUGUCCCCGGGCACUGAGAGGUCUGGCUUUGCUGCGGCUCAUGGUAUGGCUGUGAGUGAGGAUUUAAAUAGGCCUUUCCCUCCAGGAUAAUGCCACGUUACUCUCGGGAAGUUGCACAAUGUCACAUCAGAGUCCGAUGCACAGCUGAGUUCAAAAAGAGUACUAGGUUGAGUGUCAGUCUCUUAGGGAUGGAUGUAGACCAUUGAUUAAAAUGAAAUGUUGGGUCAGAAAACCCACACUUGUCCAAACACCAGGAGGCGGGCUGGGCUCCACAGAGCUCCGGAGGGAAGGUCAGGGAAGCUCAGUGUGUGAAUCAGUGCUUCGUCCUUUUGAAGACUGUCCACUUUACAGUAACAGUGUCAAACCCAGGGGCAGGAUUCAGCCAAAUGCGUUAGGAGGCUUCCUGUGUCACAGGAAGGCUUUCCAGCUCAGCCAGCAAUCUGAAGACCCCACUGAGCAGGGCCCGUGAGCAGCAACCCCUGUGGACCGCUUCCAGGCUGGGCUUGCCCACCCAGCUGGGCCACUUGGGGGUCAGCACACAGGUGAACCGGGCUAGACACAGUGGGCCAGGUGAGAGAUGCGGAGAUGGUUCUCCAUGCCAGCGUGUGGGGGAUGAGUCAAUGCAUUUGAGAUGUGCUGGGACACAGAAUUGACUGACUUGACCCUGAUUGGGUUAGGAAUGAGGGGACAAGAGAGCUUUGUGUGUCUUCUAGUUCCUACAACAGGAUGCUUAGGCGCAACGAAUCUAAUACAGACGAGAAGAUGGGAUCUGGAACCGGAUGAGUUUGUUUGCCCCAUUGGAUUGGAGUGAUGUGGGAUGGUAAGAGGUGAGAGGGUAGGAAGGUUCGCACGUGGGCUUGAAGCUCAGUGAAGAGAUCUGGGCUAGAGGUACCACGUGAGAUUCAGCACCAUUGGGAAGAUAAUUCUAGAAAGAGACAAGGGUGAGAUGACAGGGUAGGGGGAGAGAUCGUCGCCCGAGGAGUCCCUGUGAGUGAGGGAUGGCAGGAGAGUGCUCCUGGAGGAGGCCGGGAAACUGCGGCCAGAGGCAGUGGAGAAUGUGGGAUGGGGAGCCACCGAGCAGUAAGGAAGGGGACCCCGUCUGUCCACGAGGCAGCCCACGCUCACCCUCAGGAAGAGUGCAGCCAGGCCAAAAUGGCGGGCCGCUCUGGCUGCAGUGGAUGAAUAGGCCUGUGGAAACACUGACCCAUGCCUGUUCAAGGACGUGAUGGAUUGUUCUAGAAAGUUUGAUGAAGAAAAACUAUGAACACUGAAUAACACUGAUGAAAUGCAGUUGGUGGGUGAUGGAGCUUAUGGGGUGGGAAGAGGGUGUGACACCAAGUGCUCCCAGGGAGCGACGCGGUCUCUGGCAGGACGGGCUGGGCAUCAGGCCAGGGCGAGCACUCUGAAGCCGGCCUUCAGAUCCCAGUUCUGCUUCCUGGGUAGGCAGGGUGUUCAGUCACAGCAGAGAGGUCAGCUCCCACUAGCUCCAGAAGGGGCGGCUCUGGGCCUCUAGAGCUGAGCACCAGGGGACUGCUGGUCAGGCCUGGGGCCGAGGUCGGCAGGGAGCCCCAAAAGCCUCCUGCAGACUUGCUCCUCGUCGGGGAGACACAGCCACCCUGGGAUCAGCUCAGGGGACCCCAAGUUCCUGACUCCAGAGAGAAGAGGAAACUCCCCAACAGAAGGGCUCGCUAGGCCUUGCCCCCAGGUCCACAGUGGGACGUGGAGCCACGGUGGACAGCUGGACAUGGAAGCAGGAGGACUCCUCGGUGGGGACGAUGAGCAAGUGGACCUCACACACACGGUGGCGAUAUACCCCAGUGUCCCUGGACCUCGUCUCUCUCCCUAAAGAUGCAGGUGCCAUCUGACCCUAUCACCUUAUCUGUCACUUGAGAUAAUGUACCCACAUCUGGUCCAUGGCUGGCACCAUAGGUUCUCAACCCGUGAUGGUGUCGUGUUUGCAAGACUCUAUGCUUUUGGAGCAGUUUAAGGUUCACAGAAAAACAGAAGAAGACCCAGGACUUCCCAUCUACCUCUCACCUCCACGCACACAAAGCCCCCUCCUGCCAUGACAUGCCCACCAGACUGUCUCACUGUUACAAGUGAUGAACCUACAUCGACACACCAUCACCUAGAGUCUGUACCUUAAUUAGGGCUCACUCUUAGUGGGAUGCAUUCUAUGGAUUUGAACAAAAGUAAGGAGACAUGCAUCCAUCACUUUAGUAUCAUAUGGUAUUUUCACUCUCUAAAAAUCCCAUCUUCCUGUCUGUUCAUCCCUCCUAUGUUAGUCAGCUUUCUGUUACUGCAACGAAAUACCUAAGGUAAUCAACUUAGAAAAGACCAAAACGUUACAUUGGUUCAUAGUUUUCAAGGCUUUAGUCCAUAUGGUAUUGACCUUGUUUCCUUUGGACCUGUGGUGAGGCAGCCCGACACGGUGGGAGUGUGUGUGGAGGAAAGCUGUUCACCUCCUGGCAGAAGUCAGGAAAAGACCAGCCACCAAGACCCCUGGUGACCUCCCUUCCUCCCACCAGGCCCCGCCUCCUGAAGGUUUUACCACCUCCCCGGAGGGCCAAGUGCAGGAGCAAACCUGUGGCCUUUAGAGACAUUCAGACCAAAUCUAGCCCCUCCCUCCCCCGGCCCCUGGCAACACUGGGCUUAGUGUCGCCCUGAUUCUGCCUUUUUAGAAUAAUGCACAGUUGGAGUCAUGCAGUCUGCCACUUUUCAGAUGGCUUUCUUUCACGUGAUGAUCUGCGUGAGAUUUCUCCUGUCCUCUCUGGCUUGAGAGCUGAGUGUGAAGCACUCUCCCACCGUUUUAUUCUUUCACUACUGAAGGACGACUUGGAGGCCCCCAAUUUGGGGUGAUUGUGAAUAAGGCUGCAGUAUGAACCCACGUGCAGGGUGUGUUUGUGUGUUUUCUGGUUUGGCCUGGCCACACGUUUCCACGCCCGUUGUGCAGAGGAGUGGGAUCCUGUGGUAAGUGUCGGUGAGGGUUUGUAGGAGACACCAGACUCCCCGGAGCACUGCGCUCUUCUGCACUCCCACCAGCAGUGGGGAGACCUGCUGCUCCUCAUCCCCGCACGGGGUGGGCCGCCUCCUGUCUUGGCCGCCCUGACGGGUGCAGCGGUGUCUCGCUGCUGUCCGACCUGCGUGUUCCUGAUGACGUCCCACGUGAAGCAUCUUUCCAAACGCCUCCUUGCCAUCUGUAGGUCUGCCGUGGUGAGGUCUGGGCCCGUUCUCCAGUGGUUUUUGGUUCCUUGUGGCAGUUUUAGGAGCUCUUUGGCGAGUUUGGACAACGGUCCUCUAUCAGAUGCACCUUUCACCAAUACCUCCCCUAGAUGUGGCUUCCCCUUUCUUUCUCUUGACAGUGACUUUUACAGAGAAAAAAGGGUUUAUUUGAAUGAAGCCCAGCUUACCCAUGCUUUCUUUUAUGGAUCACUCUUUGCUGUUGUAUCUAAGAAGUCGUCACAAACCCAGGGUCACCUAGGUUUUCUCCUCUGAGACUGUUACACUUUUGCGUUUUACUUUUAGGUCUGUGACCCACUUUGAAUUAACUUUUUAUGAAAGGUGUAAGAGCUGGUCUAAAUUUACUUUUACCUGUGUGGAUGCCCAGUGUUCGGCACAAGCCCCGUUGUAUCACCUUUGUUCCUUUGUCAAAAUUCAGUUGCCUCUAUUUUUGUGGGUCUGUUUCUGUAUCCUCUGGUGUUUCCAUUGAUCUUUUUGUCUAUUCUUUUAUCAAUAUCACAGUGUCUUGAUUCCUGUAGUUUUAUAGAAAGUCUUGAAAUUAACUUUAACUUUGUUCUUCUCCUUCAGUAUUGUGUUGGCUAUUUGAGGUCUCCAUAUUAAUUUAAGAAUUCAUUAGUCAAUAAUAAUAAUUUGCUGGGAUUUUGAUUGGGUUUGCAUGGAAUCUAUAGAUCAAGUUGGGAAGAACUGACAUCUUGAUAAUAUUGAGUCUUCCUAUUCACGAACAUGGAACAUCUAUUUAAUUCUUAGAUUGUUUUCAUGAGAACUUUGCAGUUUUCUUCAGAUUGACUUUUUGAUUUAUUCCUAAGGCAUUUCAUUCUGGGGCGGUGCUAAUAUAAAUGUUAAUGUGUUUCUAAUUUCAAGUACCAUUUGCUCAUUAUUGGGACAUAGGAAAGAGAAUGACUUGCAUAUUUAUCUAGUCUUCUGCAAUCUUGCAGUCAUCCCUUAAUAAAUCCAGGUUUUUUUGAUCCUUUUUUUCCCAGGUUCUCUACAUAGAUGAUCCCUUCUUUUGUGAACAAAGACAGGUUCACCUCCUCCUUGCCAGUCUGUGUGUCUCUUAAGUCUUUGUCUAGUGUGUUGCCUGAGCGAGGACUUCCUGUCCAAUGUUGACAAGCAGUGGUGAGAGGCCUCCUUGCCUUGCUCCCCACCUUUGGGGGAAAGGUCGGAUUCGCUCACCUGUAAGUACCAUGAUAGCUGCUGAGUUCUCGUGGAUUUCUUUUAUUCAAGUUGAGGAAGCUCCUAGUUUACUGAGGGUAGCUCUUGUUUUUUGUGGCUAAGUGAAAGGGGACACGUGAGAUCGUGUUCUGCGUGGCUAAGGGGACACAGGUCAGAGAGAGGCCCUGGAGAGUACGGAGCUCACCCUGGGGGAUCUUCAGCUGCACUGGCAGGAAGGGCGCGGCCGGCUAGCCUAGAUCUUGGAGCAGAACAGGCCCAGGCGCUUGGCUUUCCAAACCUCUUUGAAGAGCUUCCUCUCUAGUUUCAGAUGAAGGGUGGGGGCAGGCGCCGGGCCGCUGUCCCACGCAAGGCCAGAGCCAAGGCAGCGGGGUGCGGGUGAGCAGGCCGAGGGGCCCCGUGUGGGGGCUCUGAGCACACAGAGCCUCUGCUGAGCCACAGUCGCUUACACGUGAGCCAACUUCACAACCCAAUUCAGGAGAAGUGUUUUCUGUUUCUUUUCUUCUUUGGAGCAGGACACGAGGAAGAGAUAGGAACUAGAAGAAAGGGGUCUAUUUCUGUCUCCUUAUCUCCCUCCCCCAGCCUCCUGGCAUCCUGCUGCAGGCCUCCCAGGCACUCAGGGCCCAGCCUGUCUGGUCUGGCUCACUGACCUCACGGACCCUGGGUCCCCUGUGUCUAGCAGUUAGCACACAUCCCAGCUCUCUCAGCUCCAUCAGCGUGGACCUAACACUUGAGUCUUACUUUCAACGUGUUCUGAAAAUGACUAUAAAAACCUUCACUGAGGACUUCUAAGGAAUGGACAGCAUGUCACCCUCAGCCUUCCUAAGGAGAAUCUGCCCAGGACUAGACUCUUGGCUCCGUCUUAGUCGGAAUACCUGGGGUUUUGAUAGUAUCAAUGGCCAGUAACGCCCUGCCUUGUUAAGACUGGAAGGAGGUGUCCUGCAAAUCCUCAUUUCCUGAGCCAGGAUUUCUUUUGAACUCUAGGUAAAUUCUAGCCAAGUGGUCAGCUGAGAAAUUGGGAACCCUUUGUUAUUGUUUUAAGAGGAGGGCUUCCCUUUGUCAGGCACGGGAGCUGGGUUAAUGAAACUGGCCCAGGGCAGCUUCUUCCUAAUAUAUUUCCAAAUGAGAAGAGAAUUGGCAAGUGGGGAAUCCCAUCACCCUGGGUUUUCUUUUGCAUUUUGGUAUAGACAGGGGGAUCUUCAAUGCUUGACCAACUUCCUCUCUGACUCAGUAACCUGCAGUGAAACAGGAGCCACGUCCACCCACUCCCUUCUGGAUGGAAAAGGAACCGCUGCAGUCCACAGCACAGGCUCUGGAGGCAGUGAAGCAGGACAGACUCACAUUUUAUCUGGCACAACUGGGCAUUCCCUGGGGAGCACACAGACCGGGCUGUGGGCUUAGGGCUCCCAUUCCCAAAGGACAGCUGGGCUCACAGCAAAGUGCCAUUUACAUCACAUUUAAACAAUACAGGACGGAGCCCUGCUGCCUGGAGGCGGCACAGCAGGGAAGGGCGGAGCCUAGGAGCUGACUCCUUAGUCCCCAAGUCCCAUUGUGCGGCCUCAGCCCCUCAGUCUUCCCUCUCCCAGGAGUGAGGACUGAGUGAGGCAUUGCUUGUGAAAAUCACACCACGGCCUGAAAACACUGCCCUCAAGUCACUCUAAGCAAAGUAGGUAUGAAUGCGGGUCACUUACCAUGCUGAGGGAUUUUUGUAUUGGGCAAUGGCUGAAGAAAAUUGUAAGUAACAACAGAAUGUGUUUACAGAGUUAUUUGGAUCAGUGUAGUACAGGUGCAAGAAAGAUCAGGAGCCCAGUCUUACUCUCCUUAAUAAGGGAAACUAUAUAUGAUUAAAUAAAUGAUAUUGGAACGACCCUGUUUCUUUCUUUAUUUGUUUAUAUUUAGCGGUGUUGGGGAUCGAACUCAGUGCCUCACACAUGCUAGGCAAGCGCUCUACCACUGAGCCACAACCCCAGCAGCCAUUUUUCUUUAUGUUGAAAAAAGUUAGAUCCUGCCCACAGUAUUUACAGAAAUAAUUUUCAGAUUAAUUAAAAAAUUAAAUGUUAUCUAAAAACUUCUAGAAUUAAUACACAAAAAUAAAUAAGAUCAUACUUCAGUUUUCAGGAGUACAAAAAGACUGUAAGCAAGACCCAAGAAGACAAAGAAAGUAAAGACUGAUCAAUUUGACCAUAUAAUACUUCUGUGGUUAAAAAUUUCCUUAAUAAAUGCUUACUGGGGUACAGCGUACAGUAUAUACAGAGAAAAGCACAGAUCUGUGCCCUGCUUUGACUAGCAGCAUGGCAGGCAAGUGAUAUUGUGUAACUUCCAGACCAGCCCCGUGUUUGGGAUGCUCCCUCUUAGAAGCAGCUGUGGGAAAUCAUGGAGGACUGAGGCCCAGUGUCAGCUUCCAGGAGGUGCAUACGCCAUCUUGAAUUUUCCAGCCCGGUUGAACCUUGGGACUGCAGACAACGACCAGGGGAGUCAGUCCACAGAAAAUGAAGAUAAUAUCUUAAUCUUUUAAACCACUGAGUAAGUUUUGGGGUGCUUUGUUAUGCAACAACAGAUUGUAGAAACACUUCUUUCUCCAUGGCCGUGCGGAGUCACUUUUACCAUAAACCAGGGAACACGUAGCUGGGUGCAGUGGCCAUGCCUGUAAUGCUAGCAGCUUAGGAGGCUUAUGCAGGAGGGUCUCAAGCUCGACACCAACCUCAGCAACCUUGUGAGACUGUGGCUCAAAAUAAAAAAUAAAAAGGACUGGAGAUAUGGCUCUGUGAUAAAAGUACCUCUGGGUUUAAUCCUCAAUAUCCAUCUAAAUAAAUAAGUAAAUAAAUAAACCAAGCAGCACAGUUUCAGAUCUGGUUCCGGGUUCUUCUAUCCCAUUGGUCCAUCUAACUAUACUUUCAUUAGUUUCAUAAAAUUUGUUUAGAUCUUUGCAUCUUGAUAAUAUUAAGUUUUCUCUGUAGAAUUCUUGAACAUAUUUCAUGAGCUUUAUUCCUUUUGAGUUACCUGAAUAUACAAUGUCAUCUGCAAAAACCAAAGUUUUAUUUCAUACUUUUUGAACUUUACUAUUGUUUUUUGUUUUAUAGAACUAGUAAGGCCCUGGAACACGGUGUUGAUGGAAGUGGCAAAGUAUCAUCAUACUCCCAAUCUCGGAAGGAAGGUCUUCAAUAUUUCACCAUUUAUGAUGUUUGGAUUAAGAUUUUUUUCCUUGUUAAUUCCUUUUAUCAGAUUAUGGAUAUUCCUUUUUGUUUCUAAUUUGCUAAGAAUCUUUAAACAAUAAUUUUUAAAAUUUUUACUAAAUCCUUUCUUGUAUAUUUUGAUGAUUCUAUGACUUUUUUUUCUAUUAGUUGAAUGGCACUGAUUGAUUUCAGAUGUUAAAUCAACCUUGCCUUCCUGCUGUAAGUCUAAUUUGGUUGCUAUUAUUUUUCUUUUUAUAUGUUGCUGUAUUCAAUUUUCUUUUAUUUCUUUCUCUUUUCUUUCUCCUUUUGGAUCUAUGUUUGGAAAAGAGAUUGGUGUACUAUUUUCCCUUUUGUAAAAUCCUUACUGGAUUUUUAAUAUAAAGGUUGUGCUAGCCUCGAAAGUCAA